ensembl:snRNA U2 U2 spliceosomal RNA
AUCACUUCUCAGGCUUUUGGCUGAAAUCAAGUGUAGAAUCUGUUCUUAUCAGUUUAAUAAGUACUGUGGAAAAUUUAAAAACUACCACUGGAUAUCCAGAACUCUGAACUUCUUAUAGCCUAGUUCAUAGAUCUAUUACUAUUUACUGGAAAAUCUGU